UUAUAGAAUCAGAACAAACCCCUCAAAUUGACUUCUUCCCUUUGUAGAAGAGAUAAAUGGGGGCCAGGAGCUGCUAUGCUAAUAUUCAGGCAGAUAAGUGUGUUUGCUUCAUGACAGACUCCUUGAAAUGGGGUUUGUGAAAAUGAAUGCACUGCAUUCACAGGAACAGCAGCGCUGCUGGGUCCUGCCGGCAGUAAAUCCAGCAAUUCGAUUUUGACUUGGGUGUUUAUCAUCUCUCCACUCUGUGCAGUGCGAUGCAAAGGGGGAGGGGAACCGGCUGCAGUUCAGCUUGCGGGCGGUGGGUGUCAUCCCAUUACCGCAGAACGGAGAGGGUGCCCGGAGUGUUUGUAGUCAUGCGUUUAAUGCAUUAGUCUGUAAUUUUUGUCUUCGAGGUAAUGAGGCCUGACAGCUUUGGCUGGUGCACGAUAACAGCCCCACACUGAUAUCUUUGAAAUUCUUCAGUGCCAAAUUCCUUAAGGAAGAAAUGGCUUUUGCGAAAUGACAUACCUCCUCUUAAAAAAUAAAAAGACAUCAAGCAGGACUGUUCUUAGAAAGGAUGAGAUUCCUAUGUCACGUUGUCACUUCAGUACAUGGAUCAGCUGCCACGGAAGACAGGAGACACACAUCGACGCUGAGCGCCUCCCUGGAGUGAGUACCACGGGGUUUCAGUGACAGAGGAGUGCAAAGGGGCUUUAAUGCAACAAGAAACCUUUGGAAAAAAGUUCUUUUAAAACCCAUGCUGACAAUGAACCUGUUCUUAAGCAUAAUUAGUGGAAGAAACCCACUGUAGGAAUCAUUUGUAGCUGAAAUUAGCUGAAAUCCAAAGCUCCCUAGGAGUUGCUGGCAUUUGAAAGUGUGGACUGUUGCCAAGUUCAAGGAGCAGUUCAUUUACUAGGUAAGCUCCUGAAGU
rnacentral:lncRNA from 1 species